rnacentral:rRNA from 1 species
UACGUAGGAGACGAGCGUUGUCCGGAGUUACUGGGCGUAAAGGGCGCGUAGGCGGCCGAUCAAGUCGGGGGGUGAAAGCCUGUGGCUCAACCACAGAAUUGCCUUCGAUACUGGUUGGCUUGAGACCGGAAGAGGUAAGUGGAACUGCGAGUGUAGAGGUGAAAUUCGUAGAUAUUCGCAAGAACACCAGUGGCGAAGGCGGCUGACUGGUCCGGUUCUGACGCUGAGGCGCGAAAGCGUGGGGAGCAAACAGG